rnacentral:rRNA from 1 species
CCUACGGGUCGCAGCAGUGGGGAAUAUUGGACAAUGGGCGCAAGCCUGAUCCAGCCAUGCCGCGUGAGUGAAGAAGGCCUUAGGGUUGUAAAGCUCUUUCACCGGUGGAGAUAAUGACGGUAACCGGAGAAGAAGCCCCGGCUAACUUCGUGCCAGCAGCCGCGGUAAUACGAAGGGGGCUAGCGUUGCUCGGAAUGACUGGGCGUAAAGGGCGCGUAGGCGGUUUAUGCAGUCAGAUGUGAAAUCCCCGGGCUUAACCUGGGAACUGCAUUUGAGGCGCAUAGACUAGAGGUCGAGAGAGGGUUGUGGAAUUCCCAGUGUAGAGGUGAAAUUCGUAGAUAUUGGGAAGAACACCGGUGGCGAAGGCGGCAACCUGGCUCGAUACUGACGCUGAGGCGCGAAAGCGUGGGGAGCAAACAGGAUUAGAUACCCCUGUAGUC